UACGUAGGGUGCAAGCGUUAAUCGGAAUUACUGGGCGUAAAGCGUGCGCAGGCGGUGAUGUAAGACAGCUGUGAAAUCCCCGGGCUCAACCUGGGAACUGCAUCUGUGACUGCAUUGCUGGAGUGCGGCAGAGGGGGAUGGAAUUCCGCGUGUAGCAGUGAAAUGCGUAGAUAUGCGGAGGAACACCGAUGGCGAAGGCAAUCCCCUGGGCCUGCACUGACGCUCAUGCACGAAAGCGUGGGGAGCAAACAGG
rnacentral:rRNA from 1 species